rnacentral:rRNA from 1 species
AACCUCCGCAAUGUGAGAAAUCGCGACGGGGGGAUCCCAAGUGCCAUUCUUAACGGGAUGGCUUUUCAUUAGUGUAAAGAGCUUUUGGAAUAAGAGCUGGGCAAGACCGGUGCCAGCCGCCGCGGUAACACCGGCAGCUCUAGUGGUAACAAUUUUUAUUGGGCCUAAAGCGUCCGUAGCCGGUUUAAUAAGUCUCUGGUGAAAUCCUGUAGCUUAACUGUGGGAAUUGCUGGAGAUACUAUUAGACUUGAGACCGGGAGAGGUUAGAGGUACUCCCAGGGUAGAGGUGAAAUUCUGUAAUCCUGGGAGGACCGCCUGUUGCGAAGGCGUCUAACUGGAACGGUUCCGACGGUGAGGGACGAAAGUUAGGGGCGCGAACCGGAUUAGAUACCCGGGUAGUCCUAACUGUAAACGAUGCGGACUUGGUGUUGGGUGGCUUUGAGCUGCUCCAGUGCCGAAGGGAAGCUGUUAAGUCCGCCGCCUGGGAAGUACGGUCGCAAGACUGAAACUUAAGGAAUU